UGGAUUAUGGGAGAUAUGUGUGCAUUGACAACUAAUAUUUUAAUGUAAUUUGCAGGUUUAUGGCAAAUGAUGGGAAGAUGAAGUUGAAGGUAAUGCUUCUAACCCAUUCCUCUUCAGAAAUACAUUCUAGAAAACUUCAGAACUUUGGUCUGAUUUCUAUUCUUGAUUAUACUUGCAAUGUCAUUCCAAAUCAGCCUGGAAAGAGAUGCAUUUUCGCACCUAGCAAGUGAGCAAGUUUGCCGCGCUUGGUCUAGAACGAGCUCCCCUUGGGUCAAGAGUGCAUCGAGCAUAUCCAAAAACCAAGUACAUAAAAGGCCAUCACAUUGUGGAGCUCUUCAUCUACUUGACGGACUUUCAUUGAAUUGUCUUUUUAUUUUGAAGUCUUCCAUUGUAGAUUUUAGUUUUUACUGUCAGGUUUGCAAGUCAGAUAAAUAAUGUUUCAAUUACAUCAUGGUUGUUUUUACUAUAUUUUGAUUCUUAAAUGAAUAUGGCUUAAAUAUAUUUUAUUUUAUUUUA